rnacentral:lncRNA from 1 species
UGACUCUCGGGCGUUUCCCUCAUACCCCUGAGUUCUGCAUGAGUGCAGAGGAUUGAACUGAUGGGGGUAACGUGGAGCCUGGAAGAGCUGUUUGCAUCAGAGCCGGCAGGAAGAAAAUGCUGAAAACAGGAGAUUGGUAUUGGUUAAGUUAACCCUGAAACAGGAAACGGGAAGCACUGCAGCUCUUAUGGGAAAAUCCACUGGUUCUACUCUGUCCCCUCAGCAAAGGAUAGUUACACAGUUAUCAAGCUGACUUAAAGGCUGGGCAGCCCUGGCCAGGAUCUCCUCCCCUGCAGGAAGCAUGGCACGGUGACCUUGGUCAACUCAGGCAUCAGGACACCAGGAUAGGCUGAACCACGAAAGAGUUUUCUAUUCUCUGGCCCUUCCUUGGGCUCGAAGCUGUUUUUAUAAAACUCAAGAGUAGAGCAAGGCGCAAAAGAGUGUUUUCUGCUUUGGAUUUAAGUGGGUGAGAACUGGAGAGGAAAAACGCGGUGGGUGAAUUACUAUUCUUGGACGCUCUGCAAACGUUUCACCUCCUGGGCCCUGAAGCGGGCCGGACAGGGAAGCAACGUGUGAGCGUCAUCCAGAGGCCAGGCGCUGGCAGAGGCCUGAGAGGGGCAGGGGGAGGAGGGACACUGAUGGACGCCUCUGUGGUGCCUGCUGACUUGGGCACUGGUGUGGGUGGGGUGCCCAGAGCAGGCUCUAGGAGGCGGAUCCCUGUGGGAUGGUUGUUGGUGCGGACUCUCCCUAGCCUAAACUAGCGAAUUCUCAUAAAGCGGCUUGGAGUAACUCCUAGGGUCACCACUUGUUAGUUUGGAACUAAGUAGGUAGGUGGAGCAUGCUCUGGUCAGUCUCUUUGCAAACACGUGCCUUUGGCCACCAGAGGGCUGGGGAGGGGAGACUGGAAGGCUGGGUCCUCCCGGGCUGUGGCUCAGGGACUCACUGCUGGCUUGGCGCGCUAGUCCCGCCCUGGGGGGUCGUACAGUGCACCCCUUCUGUACUGCUCCACAUGCUUAAUAUCCGCCUGAGGACGACCCCGUCGUCCCCACAGAGGGGAAGGUGGCCCCACACCAGCGCCACCUGCAACCGCCCGCGAGCCGCGCCUUCUCGGGUCUCCCCGCGCGCCCCGCCGCCACCCCUACGCCGCCCGCGCCUCCUCGCGCGCUCGGAGCCUCGUCCCGGAGGACCCUCGGCCUGCGCCGGACUGGCCGUGACCGUGCCCCGCCAGGGGUCCGCCCGCCGCUGACAGCGCGUCCGGGGCGCUCCCGCGGCCCGUGCAGGCGCGCUCGCGGUCAUCGUUCUUCCAGGGGGCGAACGAGCAAAGCGGACUUCCUUCUAGACGCUCACCGCAGCCACAGACAGUAAUAGUUUCAAAUCCGCCGAGGCUGUCAACCUGCCAUCUUUUCCUCCAAGUGUAUAAUGGGACACUGUGUCUAGACUUUUUCAGGGAAUGAGCAUCUUCCAGAAUCUAGCCUUUCCUCCCUUUUGGAUUUUGGACAUUUACUCUUCUCUCUCCCCCUCACGGAGUCUCCUCUCGCCACCAGCAGCCCCCUGGCCCCCUCCCUCUCUGAGGCAGCCCGCCGUGCCCUCCUGGCUCUCUGAGGCAGCCCGCCGUGCCCUCCUGGCUGAACGGCAGCCUAGACCCUCUUACACUCCCGGCCUCCAACUGCGCGCGAUCAAAACGCAGUGCCUGCCUACUCAUUCGGUACAAACUGAGCGGAACGACUAGGGUUUAAGAUGCUCUGCUGAGAACUGAGGAGCAUACAAAGAACUCUGCCCCUCGAAUAACUGAUAGGCUGGUUUCUCAGGCCUUGAAGGUGGCAGGCUUACUAUUCUGACAGACUCAACUGGAAAUUAACAGCUGAAUGCAUUACCCUCUCAGAGACAUUUGCUUUCAAAAGAUUUAUUAUGAUGUACUUGAUAAAUGGCUUAAAAAGUUUCCAGUGAGAAUCGCGAAUUGUAGGUAAUACUAACAACACAAGCAGAAGCCCCAGAAAAGAAAAUCGUCAAGCUGGCCAUUCUACUUCUCGUGCAAGCUCUCUGUAAAUCAUGCUAUGAAAUAAAAACAAUGGUAAUUCUCGUGAGAUUAGCCCAGAAGUCAACAACAAAAAAAUGUGAAUUAUCUAAGUAGACCGUUUCAAAUGUGGCUUUCCACACACUAUCCUUAAUGAUGAAUUGCACCCUUUGUGUUGCCUGUCAAGCAACACUAUUAUUAGCUAAUAAAUACGUGAAGAUUUCAUUACUAGUGUUUAAAAUUAAAACGUACUUUAUAAUUAUCUUUAACUUGCUUAAUUUUAAUUUAUGUGUUUAUAAUAUACCUCACAUAUUAGUUUACAGUACCUGUACAUUGUUAAUUAAUGAACUAAUAUACUUUCACUGGGAAUCUGUGCACAAAACAUUUUUACUGAUAAUGAUAAUGGUAUAAGACCAAAAGAUGUUUGGAAGGUCUUCAGACCAUGGGGAAUCUACCUAUUUAGUUCGUAAACUCUUUUUUUUUCUUUUUUAAAGAUUGGCAUUCUACUUCUCGUGCAAGCUCUCUUUAAGUCAUGCUAUGACUUUUUUUCUUUUUCUUCUUCUCCCCAAAGCCCCCCCAGUACAUAGUUGUAUAUUCUAGUUGUAUGUCCUUCUGGUUGUGCUAUGUGGGACGCCGCCCCAGCACACAGGAUCCAAACCAGCGAAACCCUGGGCCCGUGAAGCAGAGCGCACGAACUUAACCAUUCAGCCACGGGGCCAGCCCCUGGUUCAUAAAUUCUUGAAGAUUAAAACUGCCAUUUCCCCUGACAUUGCCCUGUACUUAUGCUUACUGGGCCUUCAAAAUCUGUACCAGAAUGUUUCUGCCAGCAUCAAAAUAAUUAAAAAUAGCUUUUUGAAGGAUCCAAGUCCAGUUCUAAAUAGUGGAGAGCAGAACUGUGCCCGCCUCUCUUCUUUUUAACUUACAUUUAAAUAACCUGAUAAGCCUAUUGGGUGAGUUCGCUUCAUGCCUGCUUGGCACGCCCCUCCUUUGCCAUUCAAACAGAGAAUAGCCGUGACUCAUCUGCUGGCCUGUCGUUAAAAAGAAGAGGUGGAUGCCAAGUGAGCUAAAACAGAAGUCCAUGGAUUGAGCAAAACUUCUCCAAACUUAAAUGGAUAAAAGUGAAUAACCCUGUUCGACACUUGAAACAACUUGGGGACGUUGAACAAUGAUACUGUCUGCAGCUAAAUUAUGCAUCAAGAUCCUAAACAAAACCAGGUCUACCCCAGGGGCCAGGUUUUGAUAUGAUUAUGGUUGAGGAGGUAAAUUGGUAACAAUUUGCCCUAAUAGUUACAGACUAGAAUGGACUCUUCCAUGCAAGUAGCACAGAAUUCCAGAGUCUGGGUCAGCUUCAACAGAUUUUAAGUCCCUAUUGAAAAGUCCAGUCUCUCCAUAGGCACUCUGAAAAUGGGCUUCUGUUUAAGCUAAAACGUAGGCUCCUGGCUCCUGGAUUUACAAAACAGACAGUCUGUUCUGAUGCCUGCAAUGUGGAAUCUAAAGCAUGCGAAUAUUACUUUACAACGGAGGAUAACAGCAUUUCAGACACUUAAGCUAAGUGUCAAAGGUUUAAGAGCAGUAAAGAAACUAUUUUACUUGUCUUACCCAAACUUAGCAGCCAGGGAACCCUUCCUUCCAUCAUCCCGUAAUUCUUCCUAAUGUUACACAAUGAACAACAGUGCUAGCAGCACGAAGGUUCACGAACACACUUUGGUAAGUGCUGCUCCAGAUCAAAUUGCUUCUUUUACUGGACCGUAGAACCUGACAUGUUUUCCUUUUGUUUUGACUUCCAGAUCCUUAAAGCUAUAUUUAUUUUAAACUCUCAACGAGUAAUUUAUUUGAGGCUCCUGGUACAUAUGUCUCUUUACUUCUUCUGAUAUUUAUAAAGAUUGUUUCUGUUUGCAAAAUUAAUGUGUGCUUAUUGUAGAAAAGUUGGAAAUUGAAGAAAAUAUAAAGAAGAAAAUAUAAAUCUUUCAUAAUUCUAGUACUUAGAGAUAAUCACUGUUUUGUUACAUUUAUUCCCAAUCUUGCUUUUAUAGUAUGCAUAUAUUUUGUUAGCUUAAAAAAUUGGGAUUAUAUUUUAUAUAAACUUGUAGACUGCUUUUUCCACUAUUAAUAUUAAAUAUUUUCCCAUGACAAUUAAAUGUAUCUUCAAAACAUAAUGUCCACUAGCUGCAUAAUAGUCUGUAAUAUGUAUAUACCUUCAUUAAUGUAAUUAUUGUUAGACAUUUAAUUUUUUCAAUUUUAAUUAUAAUAAAUUAUAUAGUAACGGGGUAAAAUUUUUUUAAGUCGUGAUACACAUUGCCAAAUUGUUUUCCAGAAAUUUUUGCCAAUCUACCCUCCUACCAGCAAUGAAUGAGAAUACCUAUCUCCACACACCUUCACCAGUAUUGAAUAAUAUAGUUUUUUCUUUUUAACUUCACCAAUCUGGUAGGUAAAAAAUAGCAUCUCAUUUUAAUUUGAGUUAAUUUGAUUGCUAAUUAAAUAUUUCUUCAUUUGUUAAUUUCCAAUUUGUGUUUCUUCCCUGCUCAUUGUCUUUUUCCUAUAUUGAAGUGUCUAUAUUCAUUUCAUUGACUUACAAGAAUUCUUUAGAUAGUAAUAAUUUUAAUAUUUUCUCGUGCAUAUAUUUUCAUUUGUUUAAUAUUAGAAGUUUUUAAUUUUUGUAGACAAACCUAUCGAUGUUUUCUUCUGUGGUUUCUCCCUUUGCUGACGCCACCCUUCCCAGGAUCAGCUCUGUUUCCUGUGUUUCUGUUUCUUUGUUUGUAUAUGGUAUGAGGCAGGAAUCUAAUUUCAGUCUUUUACAUAGAAUAUCAUUUCUCCACUAAUUUGUAAUGCCUCCGCUAUCUUACGUCAGGUUCUCAUAUAAGCGUGUGUUUAUUCUCUAUUCCAUUGACCUAUCUUCGGUCUCUUCUAUUCCAUCUGUCUAUUUUGAUUCAAUACCACUGUGUUUUAAGUACUGUAGUUUCAUGAUCAUUUCCUACAUCUAACAGUUCAAGCCCUUCUUCUUAGUUCUUUUUCUUUUUCAGAAAUAUUUUAGCUAUUCUCAAAUCUUUUAUUCUUUCAUAUGAAUUCUAAGAACAAUUUGUGAUACUCCACCAAAACUUUUCUUGUAGUAAGUAUUGGAAUUGCAUUGGCUCUACAGAUCAAUUUGUGCAGAAUUUACAUCUCUUUGAUAUUGAUCUCUCCAUUCAUGAAACCUGGUCUAUUUCUCUAUCUAUUUAGAUCUUCCACAUCUUUCAAUAAUAUUUUAUAAUUGGUUGCAUAGAGUUCGUGCACAUUUUUGUUCAUAUUAAUGUGAAGUAUCUUGCAGUUUCUCGUUUUUUCCUAAUACAUUUUCUAGUUGGUUAUUGCAUAAAAAUGUUAUUAAUUUUUUAAACCAACUUCAUUAAAGUAUAAUUACAUAAAAUAAAUGCAUACAUUUUAAGUGUACAGUUAGAUGAGUUUUGACGAACAUAUACACUCAUGUAGCCAACACCUCCGUCCUGAUACAGAACAUUUCCAUCACCUCAAAUGUGCCCCAUCUCUACCCACAACCCCGAGCCCCACAGAUUCACUGAUCUGCUUCGUAUCGCUAUAAAUCAGACUUGUUUCUCCUAGAACUGUGUACAAAUAGAAUAACAUAUCUGUCUUCCUUUGCUCAGAAUAAUGUUUUUAAAAGCCAUCCAGAUUGUGUGUAUCAGUAGUUAAUUUCUUUACAUUGCUUCUGUGGUGUAGAUGUACCGUAAAUUGUGUAUCCAUUCAUCUGCUGAUUAACAUUUGGGUUGUUUUCAAUUGUAAUUUUAAAUAAAGCUGCCAUGAACAUUCACGUACAAGUCUUUGUGUGAGCACACAUUUUCACUUCUCUUGACUAAAUAGCUAGAGGUGGAAUUGCCGGCCCUACGAUAAGUGUCUGCUUCACUUUACAAAAAGCUACCAAACUGUUUUCUAAAACUGAAGUACUAUUUUACAUUCCCACCUGUAACGCAUUCAGUUGCUCCGCAUCUUUGCUAACAGUUGGCAAUCUGAACCUUUAGAAAUUUGGUAAUUUGACUCUUUCAGCAAAUGUAUCCAUUGCACUUAAAUUUUCAAAAUCAUUGAAUUUUAAUGGCUAUUAUCCUUUAAUGUCUUUAGGAUCAUACUGAUAUCCUCUUUUUUAUUGACCAGUCUAGCUAGAUUUAUCCACUUUUAUCAAUUAAAAAAGAAAACUUUGUUUUAUUUUCCGUAUUACUUGUCUGUUUUGUAUUUCAUUGAUUUGUACUCCUGUUUUGAUUAUUUCCUUCCUACUUACUUUGGGUUUAACUUAUUCUUCUAGCAGCUUAAGUUGGAACUUGAGUAGUUGAUUUUAGACCUUUUUUCAAUUUUGUAAUAUAAACAUUUAAAGCUACAAACUCCCCUCUAAGUGCUACUUUUACGCUGCAUCCCACAAGUGACGUUAUUUUUAUUUUCAUUUUUAUUCAGUUCAAAAUAUUUUCUGAUUUCCUUU